rnacentral:rRNA from 1 species
AGAGUGGCGAACCGGUGAGUAAUGCGUGACCGACCUGCCCCAUACACCGGAAUAGCUCCUGGAAACGGGUGGUAAUGCCGGAUGCUCCAGUUGAUCGCAUGGUCUUCUGGGAAAGCUUUCGCGGUAUGGGAUGGGGUCGCGUCCUAUCAGCUUGACGGCGGGGUAACGGCCCACCGUGGCUUCGACGGGUAGCCGGCCUGAGAGGGCGACCGGCCACAUUGGGACUGAGAUACGGCCCAGACUCCUACGGGAGGCAGCAUG